rnacentral:rRNA from 1 species
CCUACGGGGGGCUGCAGUGGGGAAUAUUGGACAAUGGGGGGAACCCUGAUCCAGCCAUGCCGCGUGUGUGAAGAAGGCCCUCGGGUUGUAAAGCACUUUCAGUGAGGAAGAACGCCUGGUGGUUAAUACCCAUCAGGAAAGACAUCACUCACAGAAGAAGCACCGGCUAACUCCGUGCCAGCAGCCGCGGUAAUACGGAGGGUGCGAGCGUUAAUCGGAAUUACUGGGCGUAAAGCGCGCGUAGGUGGCUUGAUAAGCCGGUUGUGAAAGCCCCGGGCUCAACCUGGGAACGGCAUCCGGAACUGUCAAGCUAGAGUGCAGGAGAGGAAGGUGGAAUUCCCGGUGUAGCGGUGAAAUGCGUAGAGAUCGGGAGGAAUACCAGUGGCGAAGGCGGCCUUCUGGACUGACACUGACACUGAGGUGCGAAAGCGUGGGUAGCAAACAGGAUUAGAUACCCCUGUAGUC